rnacentral:pre_miRNA from 1 species
UUUUGUCCAUUGCCCUUUUUCUGUUGUACUACUGGCCAAUCAGAAGAGCAGUGCAAUAUUAAAAGGGCAUUGGCUGAUA